rnacentral:rRNA from 1 species
UUUCCGUAGGUGAACCUGCGGAAGGAUCAUUGUCGAAUCCUGCAAAAGCAGACCGCGCACACGUUAAACCAAAUCAGGCACGUGGCACGGGGCAACCCUGGCCAUCGUUCCCCUCCCGCAGCGCGUGCUGCGGGCUAACGAACCCCGGCGCGGAUUGCGCCAAGGAAAACUAAUGGGAGCGCUUGCCGCCCGUCGCCCCGUUCGCGGUGUGCGCUGGGUGGCGCCUCUUAAGUCAUAACGACUCUCGGCAACGGAUAUCUCGGCUCUCGCAGCGAUGAAGAACGUAGCGAAAUGCGAUACUUGGUGUGAAUUGCAGAAUCCCGUGAACCAUCGAGUCUUUGAACGCAAGUUGCGCCCGAAGCCUCACGGCCGAGGGCACGCCUGCCUGGGCGUCACGCAUCGCGUCGUCCCCCAUCCCGUCCGCCAGACAUUGGCCCCCCGUGCGCUGUGCCGCGCGGCCGGCCUAAAUGCGAGCCCGUGGCAUCUCGCGUCACGACAAGUGGUGGUUGAACCUCAACUCUCGUGCUGUCGUGGCGAGAGUUGCACAUCGGGCACGUGGUAGACCCAACGGCACAACUGAUUGGCCUUCGACCGCGACCCCAGGUCAGGCGGGAUUACCCGCUGAGUUUAA